GUACACGCUGUGACUAGCAUAUCAAUAAGCGGAGGAAAAGAAACUAACUAGGAUUCCCUCAGUAACGGCGAGUGAAGCGGGAAGAGCUCAAAUUUGAAAUCUUCAAGGUUCUACCUUGACGAAUUGUAGUUUAAAGAAGUGUUUUCUGUUGGAGUUUUGGUAAAAGUUCUUUGGAAUAGGACAUCAUAGAGGGUGAGAAUCCCGUAUUUGACCAUUAUUUCCAGCUUUGUGAUACACUUUCAAAGAGUCGGAUUGUUUGGGUAUGCAGUCCAAAAUGGGUGGUAAAUUUCAUCUAAAGCUAAAUAUUGGCGAGAGACCGAUAGCGAACAAGUACCGUGAGGGAAAGAUGAAAAGAACUUUGAAAAGAGAGUUAAACAGUACGUGAAAUUGUCAAAAGGGAAGCGUUUGACACCAGUGUUGUUUUCUCGAAAAUCAAUUAAAAAAGGCAGGAUUUUGUGUUGUAUUGACUUUAUCAGCUUUCUGCACUCUUUUCUUGUCUUUUUUAAUGCACUUUUCGUUUAACAAGUCAACAUCAGUUUCUUUUGUUGUAAAAGGGUCAUUGGAAGGUGGCUUUCUUUUCGGAGAAAGUGUUUAUAGCCUUUGGCCUCUGCAAUCGGAGAGAUUGAGGUCUGCAGCGUAGAUCCUUCGGGGUUAGAUACAUUUGUGCUAAGUUAUAGCCUUUCAUAGACAACUUGUUGACUAUGAUCAGUCAUGUAGCUUACUCGCUUAUGCUAUUUUACCUACGCUUAGGAUGUUGAAGACUCUACAGAGAUA
rnacentral:rRNA from 1 species